UUAACCACAAUAUUUCGUAGAAUUGAAACGCGUAAAGUAUAUCGCGCGUGCGAUGUUAAAUUUCAUUUAUGCAUUACUGAGUAAUCCGUCGGUACGUAUGACUCGUGCAAUACCGGCGGGGGCGACGGGGGCGGCGGUGGGUGGCGAUGGGUGGCGUUACCGACGCCAUAUUUGAAUAUUUCGGUUAGUGGCAAUAGUGGCAUUAGUGGUGAUUGUUGUGAAUCGUCGCGGGCGCGGAGCGGGUCGACUUCGUACUGGAGCAGUGUCGUGUCGCGUAUAAUUAUCCCGUAUAGCCAUGAAUAGCCUCGAUCUUCGUCAUCCGCGUGACAUGUAAGCACACAGCUUGUUUACAUAGUUGGCGACGUGUUCGAGCGAGCGCGAAUGCCCUCGCGGAGCCGUGCGUCGUUGGGAAGAGGUAUGACGCACUCGAUCGGAGUGAUUUGUGUAAAGGGCCGAUUCUACAUGAGCAGAACGCGGACGGCAGGUCGCGGACGCGGAUGUACACAUGCGUCGACAUCAGAGGUUAACUCGCCCGAAAUCUAUCGUGUCAGUGUCGCCUUGGUCGUUGACGAGCGGGUCGGUGAGGUUGGUUCGCGGGUGGAUUUCGUAGCAUCGCGCUAUCGCGUCUUUUUCAUGUUUAAUCUUUUUAUUCUUCCUGUCACGAUGUAACGAAGUGCACCUCGGGUACGAUUAACCUCGGGAGUCCCGUGUCAAAGUGCCGCGCGAUCAUCGUAUUCCCGCGAUUAGCGCGAGAAAUUAACCUUAUUUUCGCGGGCGAGUGAGUGUGUAUGUGUGAGUGCCGUGAAGAGCAUCAACGGACGGAGGAGAGAGAGAAGAAGAAGACCCGGGGAGACGUCGAGCAUCAACGGAGCAACCAUCAGGAUUAACGUCGUAGCUACAACUCCGUUGCUGCGCAUUGCAAUGAGAACAACGAUACGGAUGAAUAGCCGUGGAAGAAUGGCGACGUGAAGAUACUGACCUUGCAGCCUUCGCACGUGAAGGCCCCGAAGUGAAAACCCGCGGCCGGCUCUCCGCAAACCCUGCAGAGCUGAUUCAUCUGCAACAAAAAGAUGCGACAUGU